GGCUGCCUGGGUCCCUAGGGCGCGCGCCCUCGGCCUGCCCGGCCCGGGCCCUCCCGCCGGCUCCACCUGCGCGCUGGGUCUCGGGAUGUGCCCGUCCGAGAUGGGGACGCUGUGGCACGUGUGGUCUCCCGUGCUCAUCGGCCUGGCCGCCCUUUCCUCCGAAGUGACCGAGAGCCGGGGCAUCCUUGAGAGCAUCCAGAGGUUCUCCCUGCUGCCCACCUACCUGCCGGUCACCUACCACAUCAACAACGCCGACGUGUCCUUCUUCCUGAAGGAGGCCAACCAGGACAUCAUGCGCAACUCCAGCCUGCAGUCCAGGGUCGAGUCCUUCCUCAUCUACAAAUCCAAGCAGCUGCCGGCGCUCAACGCCAGCUAUGGGCCCUUCUCCAUCGAGCAAGUGGUGCCCCAGGACCUGCUGCUGCCCGCCAACCCCUUCGGCUUCACCAACACGUUUUCCCUGAACUGGAAGCUGAAGGCCUCCAUCCUGCGGGAGAAGAUCUACCCCAGCCGUCCCAAGGUGCAGGUCCUCUUCCACCUGGUAGGCCGGGACUGGGACGACGCGCGGCCUGCGGAGAGGCUGCCCUGCCUGCGCGUCUUCGCCUUCCGGGAGACCCGGGAGGUGCGGGGCAGCUGCCGGCUCGCCGGGGACCUGGGCCUGUGCGUGGCGGAGCUGGAGGUCCCGGCCGCGUGGUUCAGUGCCCCGACGGUGGUUGCCGGGAGGAGGAAGGCCGCGGAGCAGCCCGAGGGCAGCCCGGUGGAGCUGUACUACUCCAUGCAGCCGGGGGACGCGCGUUGGGACUGCGCCCAGGAGGACCGGUGGAGGACCGACGGCAUUCGGACAGGUCACAAUGACAUCGAUGAGUCUGGGCCGCCCUUGCACAGAAUCGGGAGUGUCUUCCUCUACCAGACCCACGGCAGCCCCACCCUGAAGGAGCUGCGACUGGACAGCAAUGUCGCCGUGCACUACGUCCCCAAGACGGCUCGACAGGGCGACGUGCUCACCUUCCCCAUCUUGGUCUCGAGAAACUGUACAGAGGACCGUUUUACGCUGAGGGCCAAGGUGAAGAAAGGCGUGAGCAUUGCCGGGGUGAGGGCCAGCAGCCCCUCCAUCUGGGACGUCAAGGAGAGCUCGGAGUCCGCCGGGAAGUACGCACCCGCUGUCAUAGUGUGUCACAAGAAAUCUGCUGCCUCGGCAAACGGAUGCCCCGUGUAUCAAAACCACAGUGAGAUACCACCUCACACCUGCUGGGACAGCUGUGGCCAAAAGGAAGAGCAGUGACAAGAGCAGGUGAGGAUGAGCAGCGAGGAGCCCCGCACGGUGGCAGCCGUGGUGGGAGCCCUGUGGAGGUUCCACCUAAAACCAGCAGCAGAGCCAUGUUGUGGUCCCACCACCGCUCCACAGGGGCACAUCCAUGGGACCCAGAAUCGAUGUGUGCAAGAGACGUCAGCUUCCCACAGGUGGCAGCAGCGCUAGUCACACUUUCCAAGAAACAGACAACCUCAAAGACCUGCCGCCCACAAGUGGAUGGAGGAGAGGUUCAUUCUGUCUCACAGUUCAGACGUUUCCGUCCACAUUUCUGUGCACAGCACAGAAGCAGCAUGACUGGAGGGCCUGGGUGGAGAGCUGAUUGCUCAUGGUUCCAGGAAGCAGAAGAAGGGAGAAGCUGAGGAGGGAGAGAAACCCUUCCAGGGCCUGUCCUCAGGGACCCACCUCUUGCAACAGGACCCCACCUGACAGCAGCAGGUCAGUGAUAAGAUCUUAUGAUUGGACCAGCUUUCAGAAACGCCAACUUCUAAACACACGAGGCUUUGGAGGAACAUCUAAG
rnacentral:lncRNA from 1 species